AAAAAAUUACGUAGAGAGUGGUUUUUUACUCAAUUUUAUUACAAUUAGCUAUACGCGAUGCGUCAGAUCUAUUGGUAUUACAUAUAAUUCAAUUACUCUUUAUCUGUAUAUUGACUAUUUUGGUUGUUGUAUAGUGUGGCUUCAUCGACACCUAUAACACUUGUUUUAGGCUCGUUGUUGCAUAGUGUAAUCCGUUAUAUAUACUAAUAUGUAUUGUAGUGAAGCGUUAGUGAUAUUACACAUGUGUGGUGGUCGGUUAUCAAUUAAACAAUUGUGUAUAUUGGUUGCAAUGCAAUUACAUGUAUGCUUAUAUUGUAUAAAUGAAUAACAACUAAUGCUAGUAUUUGACGAGAUACCUAACUUUCCGACCCGUCUUGAAACACGGACCAAGGAGGCAGAAUCUAGAGCAAGUUGGAGGGUGUAAAACCCGACGGCGUAGUGAAAGCAAAAGAUGAGAUCUAUUAGACUAUGAAAGUAGUUGGAUAGCGCAUCAUCGGCCGGUCUUUAUUAAUCAUAUAUUGAUCGAGUUGGAGCUUUAGAUGCUGAACCCGAAAGAUGGUGAACUAUACGUGAGCAGGGUGAAGCCAGAGGAAACUCUGGUGGAGGCUUGAAGCGAUUCUGACGUGCAAAUCGAUCGUUAGACUUGCGUAUAGGGGCGAUAGACUAAUCGAACCAUCUAGUAGCUGGUUCCCUUCGAAAUAUCCCUCAGGAUCGCUGAGACAUGUGUUGUAAAACAGUUUCAUCGGGUAGAGCGAAUGAUUAGAGGAAUCGGGGAUAUAUUACUCUCGACCUAUUCUCAAACUACCAACCGGUGAGUAUACACUUGUUUGUAACUUGAUUGAAAUGGUGUGAUUGAAUGUUUGUGUCUCAAGUGGGCCAUUUUUGGUAAGCAGAACUGGCGAUGCGGGAUGAACCGAGAGUUGAGCUAAGGUGCCUAAGAACACGUUGAUAGAUACCACAAAAGGAGUCGGUCGAUAAAGACAGCAGGGCGGUGGCCCUGAAAGUAGGAAUCCGCUAAGGAAUGUCUAACAACUCACCUGCCGAAUCGACCGGCCCUGAAAAUGGAUGGCGCUUAAUCGUGUGACCGAUGCUCAACCUUUAUGACAAGAAAUGUUUUAUAAAGGGUAGAAGGGCGCAACGGUAGCAAUAAAGUAUAAAGUGUAAACUUGUAUGGAGCUGCCGUUGGUGUAGAUCUUGGUGGUAGUAGCAAUGAUAAAAGUGAGUAAAAACCUUUUAGGCCGAAGUGGAGAAGGGUUUCACGUGAACAGCAGUUGGACGUGAGUUAGUCGGUCCUAAGCGGUUGCCUAAGGGCUAUUUCAAUGCUGACUUGUUUGUAGUUGUAUCGUAAAAAAGUAUGUCUACAGUAAAAAUGGGUCAGAAUCCGCGAAAGGGAAUCAGGUUAAUAUUCCUGAACCGGGCGUUGGAGACGUAGUAAUUACCUCUUUUGAGUUGUCUUAAUUGAUGGCAAAAUAGUAGUGUAGUUGUUGCUUAGCGGUAACGCAAACAAUCUCGGAGACGUUGAUGUCUAUGGUGGAGAGAAUUAUCUUUUCUGUAUAACAGGCCAAACAAGUACCUUGGAAUCGAGUCAUUCGGAGAUGAGGUAAAAAGCCUGGAAGAACAUUACAACUUUUGCAAUGUCCGCAUUAUAGGUAUCAACCCUUGAAAAUCCGAGGGAGUGGUUGAAUUUCACGUCCGUCCGUACCGAAUCCGCAUCAGGUCUCCAAGGUGUGCAGCCUCUGGCACUGGAACAAUGUAGGUAAGGGAAGUCGGCAAAAUGGAUCCGUAACUUUGGGAAAAGGAUUGGCUCUAAGGACCGGGCCAAUCGAGCUAGUAUUGCCUAGGUUAGUGGGGGUUGAACGGGAUUUGUUUGUAUUGCUUUGUGUUUUGCGGAGUAUAUAUGGAUAAAUUUGGUGAAGCAAACGCUGGCCCUGGAAUAUCUGUGUGAAUUUUUCAAUUGGUUGAUUGGCUAGUUGUGUAUGCAGUUGCUUAAUUGUGGGUGUUAUAUGUGGUUAGUGUGUAUCAGUCAAUAAAAUUCUUUACGAAUGGCAAGCAUCGGUCUGCUUAGAACUGUUACUAACAUGGGGAAUCCGACUGUUUAAUUAAAACAAAGCAUUGCGAUGGCCUUAAGGGGUGUUGACGCAAUGUGAUUUCUGCCCAGUGCUCUGAAUGUCAAAGUGCGGAAACGCAACCAAGCACGGGUAAACGGCGGGAGUAACUAUGACUCUUGUAAGGUAGCCAAAUGCCUCGUCAUCUAAUUAGUGACGCGCAUGAAUGGAUCAACGAGAUUCCCACUGUCCCUACCUACCAUCCAGCGAAACCACAGUCAAGGGAACGGGCUUGACUGAGACAGCGGGGAAAGAAGACCCUGUUGAGCUUGACUCUAGUUUGAUUUUGUGAGAAGACAUGAGGGGUGUAGAAUAAGUGGGAGAUUAGUGUAAAUUAAUCGACGGUGAAAUACCACUACCUUCAUUGUUUUCACACUAAGUCGGUAACACGGGAAAUAUCCAUUAUUACUGAAAAGGUAUGAUGGGUGGAUUUGUAGUUAUAAGGCAGACAGAUCUGCUGACCCAUCGCCGAUGACAUGAUCAGAUGGGGAGUUUGACUGGGGCGG
rnacentral:rRNA from 1 species